CACCGCCCGUCGCUUCUACCGAUUGGUCGUCCCUGUGAACGAUCGGGAGGGCGCGCUGCUGACCAGCAAUGAUCACAGUGCAUGCGAACAUUUCGAAAUUUGGGACAAGAGGAAGAAGAAGUCGUAACAACCUGUUCGGCAAGCG
rnacentral:rRNA from 1 species